AUGCAUGUUAUCGGUGCAGACUUGAGCAUGAAUGUUGUGAAGAACUAUAUGAUGAAGACUUGGAAUUUUGUCUCCUUGUCUGAAAUGUAUUACAAUGAUGAAGGCUACUUCGUUCUCAAGUUCAAUACGGAAAAUGAUAGAGAUGAAGGGACCUUAUACAUUUCGAAACACGUCGAUGGUGCUUUUAGAAUAGAGACCAAAUUUCUCUAUGGAGAUGGACAUGUUACGAACCAUAUCAACAGUGGCGAAGCCUGA